rnacentral:lncRNA from 1 species
CAGCAGCACGAUCACACUUCAAAACUAAAUUGGACAGCACGCUGAAACCCGCUCCAGUUCGUUACAGCUUGUACCCCAAGAACUCUGUGCGAAGCAUGGAUGAGGACUUUGAUUUUGAGCAUCGCAGAGAGUUACGGAGACAAAAGCGAGAAGAGAUGCAGCGGGAGGCAGAGAAGAUGAACUCUCACGAUGAUGAUGAGGAAGCGGCCCGGGAGCGCCGGAGACGAGCCCGUCAGGAACACCUGCGCAAUAUGGAGAAUGAGGAGUCGAAUAACACUACAACAGAAACUAACACGUAGAUCCAUCCA